AAGGGAGACCUAAUUCGGGUAGGAGACGAAAAAAAGUAGUCGCUACCAAGAAUCAAUCCCAAAAGGUCGGAGCGAGGCGAAAUUGGCUUUCAAACUAGGUUCUGGGUUCACACAAGACCUGAAUCAGGAACAAGGGCUAUUAGCUCAGGUGGUUAGAGCGCACCCCUGAUAAGGGUGAGGUCCCUGGUUCGAGUCCAGGAUGGCCCACCUGCACAGGUGGCAAAAACAAGAGAAGCGAGGAAUCAGCACCUGCUCUUACCUACAUAGUAAGAGAGAAUGCUGGCUCUGAGUACAGAGUCCAGAGGAACCUUGAAAACUGCAUAGAGCUAGGUGAAAAAGCCAAAAAAGAAGACCGCAA
rnacentral:tRNA from 1 species